rnacentral:rRNA from 1 species
CUCGUAGGCGGUUUGUCACGUCGUCUGUGAAAUCCUAGGGCUUAACCCUGGACGUGCAGGCGAUACGGGCUGACUUGAGUACUACAGGGGAGACUGGAAUUUCUGGUGUAGCGGUGGAAUGCACAGAUAUCAGGAAGAACACCGAUGGCGAAGGCAGGUCUCUGGGUAGUAACUGACGCUGAGGAGCGAAAGCAUGGGUAGCGAACA